rnacentral:rRNA from 1 species
GCGUUCCUACGGGGCGCAGCAGUAGGGAAUCUUCCACAAUGGGCGAAAGCCUGAUGGAGCAACGCCGCGUGGGUGAAGAAGGUGUUCGGAUCGUAAAUCCCUGUUGUUAGAGAAGAAAGUGCGUGAGAGUAACUGUUCACGUUUCGACGGUAUCUAACCAGAAAGCCACGGCUAACUACGUGCCAGCAGCCGCGGUAAUACGUAGGUGGCAAGCGUUAUCCGGAUUUAUUGGGCGUAAAGGGAACGCAGGCGGUCUUUUAAGUCUGAUGUGAAAGCCUUCGGCUUAACCGGAGUAGUGCGUUGGG